UGAGAGCACCCUCUGGAGUAGU
rnacentral:miRNA from 1 species